GACGAACCGUGCGAACGUUGUUCGGAUUCACUGGGCUUAAAGGGCGCGUAGGCGGGCUCGCCAGUCUGUGGUGAAAGCCCCCGGCUCAACCGGGGAAGUGCCGUGGAUACUGCGAGUCUGAGGAGGGUAGGGGCGUCUGGGAACGCUGGGUGGAGCGGUGAAAUGCGUUGAUAUCCGCAGGAACUCCGGUGGCGAAGGCGGCGUGCUGACCGUCCUUCGUGACGCUGAGGCGCG
rnacentral:rRNA from 1 species